CCCGUAUAUUUCCCUAGAAUAUAUCUUUGUUUAAUAUAAAUAUUUCCCGCAUAUUUUCUUAGAAUAUAUCUUUAUUUAAUAUAAAUAUUCCCCAUAUAUUUCCCAAGAAUAUAUCUUUAUUUAAUAUAAAUAUUCCCCGUAUAUUUCCCUAGAAUAUAUCUUUAUUUAAUAUAAAUAUUUCCCUAGAAUAUUGCUCUAGAUAUACUAAAUAUUUCCCCCUACCGUUCGACUCCCCUGUCUUCUAUCCUAUCACCCAAUAUCGUAUCACCUUGUAUCAUGAGUCAAGUAGUAUAGGAUUUCCAUUUAGACCUUGUAUCAUGAGCCAAGUAGUGUAGGAUUUUUUGUCAACAUUGGUCAACAUAAGUCAACUCCCUAAGUUGACCCAUUGGUGGUGCCUUUUGUGGUUGACUUCUGUUGUAAUUUGAGAUAAUAACUUUUAGAAUCUUCCUAAUUAGAGGAAAUAGAUACGUAAUCUUUUAUUUUAUUUUAUUUGUCCUAGUUUUCCUAAUUUCCAUAUUUCCCUUUUUAGGAGAACUAGAUUAUUACAAAUAGAGGGUAUGAGAAUGUAUUUUUCAUAAUUAAAAAUAAUAAUAAGUCUCAUUUUCAACUUAGUAUCACAGCUCCUGAACAAGCCGCACCGCCGCCGUUGUCCGACCAUCGUCGCCGUCGCCGUCGCCGUCGCCGGUUGGGGUCAUUGAUAGGGUAGAAAGUUGCGCCCAACACCGGCGAUCACAACGCCAGAAGUCACUCCGUCAGAGGAGCGCCACGCGCCGGCACGCUUCGGCGAUCACAACAAGGGAUCCCAAAAUGUUAGGUUCCUGGGUUUGGAAACCUAACAAGAACACACUCAGAAGAUAGAAACAGUAAAGAAAGAAUAGGGUUUAUCUAUCAUUCACUUGAAAGAAAUCCUCUUUACAAAGAAAGGGUUGGGAGCAUAACCUCCCUGGUUGAGAGCAUAACCUCUCUCUACAAGCUAAAGACCUGACUGUACACAAAAUUACUCGAUAAUCCCCUUGACAACAUAACCGGGUCUUAUUUAUAUAAUUCCUCCACCUUCUAUCCUAAACCCAAUACCCAUUAUAUCCUCUUACCCUAUAUCCUAACACAAAAUCUGAUCACAAACAUUGAAGUAGUCAUCAGAAAGUCCAUGUAAAGCCAAUAACAUAAAGAACUUUGACCAUUGCUCUAGAUCUUGAGAAGCAGUAAAGGCAAGAGGUAAUAUAUUCAGCCAUUAGGCCAUGACUUUUAGGAGCAACAACAACAAGAAGAUUGUGACAAACAUCAUAAAGACAUUGAGUGUCACUGGUUUUUCAUGUUCCCAAACUUCAAAACAUGUUUCAUAAGUACAAAACAAUUGUUUUCAAGAUGAGUGAAUAGUGUAUUUGAGAACCAUGCAUAAUUAAGCAUCAAUCUUCAACCAACAUAGAGCUUCACUGGCAUCAAUAGAAGUCAUGCUCUUGGAAAGAUGAUCGACAUAUUCCUGACUCUUAAACCAAAGUUUAAUGUCUAAUCCCAAGUCUCAUAAUUAGUGUCAUCUAAUUUUUCAAUGGUUAGAAGCCCAUUACCUAAUUAAUGUAGAUUGAGGGAUCAAAGGAAUUGGUAGCAGUAGGGGUAACAAUAGAGGUUGAAGUUGUCGAAGCCAUAAAUGAAAAGGAGAAAAAACCCUAAAAUCCAAGGUUCUUCUAUCAAGGCAACAAGUACAGAUCCAAAAAGAGGAGGAGGAGGAGGCGAUCUCGACGCUAGUGAUUGUUGUCAGAGAGGAGUGACACGCCACCAAACACAACAGCAAAAUAGAACAAAAUCGCUACUUUAAACGGGGCGUGAGGAUGCAUUGCUGCUCUAAUGAUGACAAUCUUUGCAAUGUGGUAGUCGCAUGAUCCAUAUGAAGGAAACGAUGGCUCUGGCAACUCCAGCAACAACUCUAGCGACAGUUCUGGUGACGAUUACAGUUGCAACGACCAACGAAAAAAAAUUAUGUAUGGAUUAGUAGAAAACCCUAACUCUAGAUACCAUGUUGAAAGUAGUGAAAAUUAGGAUUAGGAAUAAUUCCCAUGUGUCGAAAAUACACAUAGGAUAAUAUAUUUAUAAUGAAGAAUUAUAAACGAAAAUAUGGGCUAAGCCCAAAUACACAUAAUAUUGUAACAAACAUGGGAUAUUGUAAUUAAUAAAAUCUUAACAAUAUCUAACACUCAUAAUGCUCUAUAUGCUGAAGUGAUAGGUGUGAUUCUGGCAAUGGAAGUUGUUAUCUCCAAGGGUUUUGAAUUGAGUGUGUCUCUCAACUUGUUAUAUGAUGUUAGUCUAAUACUUCUAUUACUCUUUGGGAUCUUUGUAGUAGAUGGUUGAAUUAUUUUGUAAAUAGUAAUAUUGUUUCCUUUUUCACAUAUUUUUCAAGAGAGUAAUCAAUGUGUUGAAAAACUUGUUGGGUUUGACACUAGACCUCAUGUUAUACUUGGUGGAACAAUUUUCUAGCACCAGCUUUCAUUUGUCCUGAGUUCUUCAGAGAUAGAUAUGAUUUUCCCUUUUAUAGGGUUAAGGGUUAAAGAUUAGUGGGUCAGGUUUGGUGAUAGGUUUCCUCCUAUCAUUUGGUCUCCCCCCCUUUUUCGUACAUGUCUCUUUUUCACUACGGUAGUUGAGGUUAUGCAUAUGAAAAAGGCCAGCUAUCUAUCAUUCUAUUAGAAGUUAUUAGAACAUCUAGAGCCUGUCGUAGAACAGUUAGAGAUUUUAACUAACAAGAUUGCAGCUCAAGCUAUCUUGUAUAAAUGCUUGAGUAAUGUAACUAACUAAAUCAUUAAUGAUUAACAAUACAAGACAUUUUACAGCUUAGAUGUUAAACAUAAAUCACUGCUUUGUCACUGAGAUUCAUGAUCUAUCAAUUAUACUAAAUUCCUGGUGAUAUAAUUAUCCUUUGACAACAUAAACAAGCUGGCAUUCAUUUUAUGUAACAUACCGGAAUCUUCAUAGUUGAAGCAUUAUUAAAAUAUGAAGAGAAGAGCUCAGCAUCAAGGGUAGCACUCAUUAAAAUCAGUUUCAGUUCUGGCCUGAAAGCUAGAAGAUCUUUAAGGACAACAAGCAAAAAAUCUGUCACAGAAAAAAAAAAUUACAAUAGUAUUAUCAUAAAAAAACUUACAAAAACCUAAAUACAUAAUCAAGUUCAGAAAUCUACCUUCAUUAAUUCCCCGCUCAUGAAUUUCAUCAACAAUAAUAUGAGUUAUGCCUUUUAAUUUUUUAUCAUCUAGUAAUCUUCUUAAUAAGAUGCCUGUGGUGCAGAAGAGAAGAUGGGUAUCUCUCCCUUGCAUGCCUUCAAGUCUAACUUUAUAUCCAACCUUUCACAAAAGAAGUCAAAAGAAGGAGAAAGAAACUUUAAAAUCCAACGUACUACAAAACAAAGAGAAUUAUUGGAACGGUUAUUAAAACUCACAGUUUCACCCAAUUUCUCUCCUCUUUCAGAGGCAACUCUUUCAGAAACAGAAAUUGCUGCAAUGCGUCUUGGUUGUGUGCAAAUGAUAUUACACACAGCUCCACGAACUAAUUCUAUCUCCGAUUCUAGGAUAAAUUGUGGAACUUGUGUUGUCUUUCCACAACCUGUUUCACCCGAGAUGAUAAGUACCUGAAAAAUAUGUAAAUAAUAAUUAAAGUUGAAUAUAAGAAGCUGCUAGGUUCCUGAGUUUGAAACCUAACAAUAACACACUGAGAAGAUAGAAACAGUAAAGAAAGAAUGGGAUUUGUCUAUUAUUCCCUGUGAAAGAAAUCCUCUUUACAAAGAAAGGGUUGGGAGCAUAACCUCCCUGGUUGAGAGCAUAACCUCUCU
rnacentral:lncRNA from 1 species